rnacentral:rRNA from 1 species
GAUGAACGCUGGCGGCGUGCCUAAUACAUGCAAGUCGAGCGAACAGACGAGGAGCUUGCUCCUCUGACGUUAGCGGCGGACGGGUGAGUAACACGUGGAUAACCUACCUAUAAGACUGGGAUAACUUCGGGAAACCGGAGCUAAUACCGGAUAAUAUAUUGAACCGCAUGGUUCAAUAGUGAAAGACGGUUUUGCUGUCACUUAUAGAUGGAUCCGCGCCGCAUUAGCUAGUUGGUAAGGUAACGGCUUACCAAGGCAACGAUGCGUAGCCGACCUGAGAGGGGGAUCGGCCACACGGGAACUGAGACACGGUCCAGACUCCGACGGGAGGCAGCAGUAGGGAAUCUUCCGCAAUGGGCGAAAGCCGGACGGAGCAACGCCGCGUGAGUGAUGAAGGUCUUCGGAUCGUAAAACUCUGUUAUUAGGGAAGAACAAAUGUGUAAGUAACUGUGCACGUCUUGACGGUACCUAAUCAGAAAGCCACGGCUAACUACGUG